rnacentral:ncRNA from 1 species
GUCAGAUGUCGUGGUGAUUUGGCCGGCCGGCUUGCAACCACGUUAAAUAAGUCGCUAAAAAAGGCCGCGCGCACCCGGUU